UACGUAGGGUGCAAGCGUUAAUCGGAAUUACUGGGCGUAAAGCGUGACGCAGGCGGUUAUGUAAGACAGGUGUGAAAUCCCCGGGCUUAAUCUGGGAACUGCAUUUGUGACUGCAUAGCUAGAGUACGGUAGAGGGGGAUGGAAUUCCGCGUGUAGCAGUGAAAUGCGUAGAUAUGCGGAGGAACACCGAUGGCGAAGGCAAUCCCCCUGGACCUGUACUGACGCUCAUGCACGAA
rnacentral:rRNA from 1 species